GGCCCUGUAGUGAAGUUCAUAGUGAGUUGCAAGCUCAUUGAUGUGCAUAAAUUAUGUACCGGGGCCU
rnacentral:tRNA from 1 species